GGCUUCAUGGUGUAUUCGGCGUCGCGCUUCCUCGUGACGGACGUCGUCGUCGCGGGGAUUCUCGUGAUCGGCGCGAUCGCGCUCGCGCUGGAGAUC
rnacentral:tRNA from 1 species